rnacentral:rRNA from 1 species
GAGUAGCGGCAUAUCUACAGUCAUACCACCUGAACACUGAUAUUGGAAGUGAGUAGUGUUGGAACUGACAAGUAGUGGGAUGUGAGACCACCUGGGAAUACUGGGUGCAGUACAUU